AGCGUGGAGACAGGUGGUGCAUGGCUGUCGUCAGCUCGUGUCGUGAGAUGUUGGGUUAAGUCCCGCAACGAGCGCAACCCACGUUCUCAGUUGCCAGCAUUAAGUUGGGCACUUUGGGGAGACUGCCGGUGACAAACCGGAGGAAGGUGUGGACGACGUCAAGUCAUCAUGCCCCUUACGCUCUGGGCUACACACGUGCUACAAUGGCCAAUACAAAGGGCUGCAAACCCGCGAGGGCAAGCCAAUCCCAAAAAAUUGGUCUCAGUUCAGAUUGUAGGCUGCAACCCGCCUGCAUGAAGGAGGAAUCGCUAGUAAUCGCGUAUCAGCACGACGCGGUGAAUACGUUCCCGGGCCUUGUACACACCGCCCGUCACACCACGAAAGCCAGCUGUACUCGAAGUCGCUGAG
rnacentral:rRNA from 1 species